rnacentral:rRNA from 1 species
GGAUGAACGCUGGCGGCGUGCUUAACACAUGCAAGUCGAACGAACCUUCGGGUUAGUGGCGGACGGGUGAGUAACGCGUGAGAAUCUGCCCUCAGGAGGGGGACAACAGUUGGAAACGACUGCUAAUACCCCAUAUGCCGCGAGGUGAAAUGAAUUUCGCCUGAGGAUGAGCUCGCGUCUGAUUAGCUAGUUGGUGUAGGUAAUGGCUCACCAAGGCAUCGAUCAGUAGCUGGUCUGAGAGGAUGAUCAGCCACACUGGGACUGAGACACGGCCCAGACUCCUACGGGAGGCAGCAGUGGGGAAUUUUCCGCAAUGGGCGAAAGCCUGACGGAGCAACGCCGCGUGAGGGAUGAAGGCCUCUGGGCUGUAAACCUCUUUUAUCAAGGAAGAAGAUCUGACGGUACUUGAUGAAUAAGCCACGGCUAAUUCCGUGCCAGCAGCCGCGGUAAUACGGGAGUGGCAAGCGUUAUCCGGAAUUAUUGGGCGUAAAGCGUCCGCAGGCGGCCCUUCAAGUCUGCUGUUAAAAAGUGGAGCUUAACUCCAUCAUGGCAGUGGAAACUGUUGGGCUUGAGUGUGGUAGGGGCAGAGGGAAUUCCCGGUGUAGCGGUGAAAUGCGUAGAUAUCGGGAAGAACACCAGUGGCGAAGGCGCUCUGCUGGGCCAUCACUGACGCUCAUGGACGAAAGCCAGGGGAGCGAAAGGGAUUAGAUACCCCUGUAGUCCUGGCCGUAAACGAUGAACACUAGGUGUCGGGGGAAUCGACCCCCUCGGUGUCGUAGCCAACGCGUUAAGUGUUCGCCUGGGGAGUACGCACGCAAGUGUGAAACUCAAAGGAAUUGACGGGGCCCGCACAAGCGAGUGGAGUUUUCUGGUAUAAUUCGAUGCAACGGGAAGAACCUUACCAGGGUUUGACAUCCUGCGAAUCUCUUGGAAACGAGAGAGUGCCUUCGGGAACGCAGUGACAGGUGGUGCAUGGCUGUCGUCAGCUCGUGUGGUGAGAUGUUGGGUUAAGUCCCGCAACGAGCGCAACCCACGUCUUUAGUUGCCAGCAUUUAGUUGGGCACUCUAGAGAGACCGCCGGUGAUAAACCGGAGGAAGGUGUGGAUGACGUCAAGUCAUCAUGCCCCUUACACCCUGGGCUACACACGUACUACAAUGCUACGGACAAAGGGCAGCAAGUUCGCGAGGACAAGCAAAUCCCAUAAACCGUGGCUCAGUUCAGAUCGUAGGCUGCAACUCGCCUACGUGAAGGAGGAAUCGCUAGUAAUCGCAGGUCAGCAUACUGCGGUGAAUACGUUCCCGGGCCUUGUACACACCGCCCGUCACACCAUGGAAGUUGGCCACGCCCGAAGCCGUUACUCCAACCCUUGUGGAGGAGGACGUCGAAGGUGGGGCUGAUGACUGGGGU